rnacentral:rRNA from 1 species
AUUGAACGCUGGCGGCAUGCUUUACACAUGCAAGUCGAACGGUAACAGGGACUUCGGUCUGCUGACGAGUGGCGAACGGGUGAGUAACAUAUCGGAACGUGCCCAGUAAUGGGGGAUAGCUCGGCGAAAGCCGGAUUAAUACCGCAUACGCCCUGAGGGGGAAAGUGGGGGAUCUUCGGACCUCACGUUAUUGGAGCGGCCGAUAUCAGAUUAGCUAGUUGGUGGGGUAAAGGCCUACCAAGGCGACGAUCUGUAGCUGGUCUGAGAGGACGAUCAGCCACACUGGGACUGAGACACGGCCCAGACUCCUACGGGAGGCAGCAGUGGGGAAUAUUGGACAAUGGGCGAAAGCCUGAUCCAGCAAUGCCGCGUGUGUGAAGAAGGCCUGAGGGUUGUAAAGCACUUUCAAUCGUGAAGAAAGUUAGCAGGCUAAUACCCUGUGACCUUGACGUUAACGAUACAAGAAGACACCGGCUAACUACCGUGCCAGCAC